GAUGAAGAACGUAGCGAAAUGCGAUAAGUAGUGUGAAUUGCAGAAUUCAGUGAAUCAUCGAAUCUUUGAACGCACAUUGCGCCCCUUGGUACUCCAUGGGGCAUGCCUGUUCGAGCGUCAUUUACACCCUCAAGCUCUGCUUGGUGUUGGGCGUCUGUCCCGCUUCGUGCGCGGACUCGCCUCAAAUGCAUUGGCAGCGGUCUUGCCAGCUUCUCGCGCAGCACAUUGCGCUUCUAGAGGCUUUGGCGGAUCGGCGUCCAUCAAGUACACCCACAGUUUGACCUCGGAUCAGGUAGGGAUACCCGCUGAACUUAAGCAUAUCAAUAAGCGAGGA
rnacentral:misc_RNA from 1 species